CCUUAUAAGUACAAUCGACUCAAAAUUGGUACAGACAAGGGGAAUCCGACUGUUUAAUAAAAAAAAGCAUUGCAAUGGUCCCUACGAAUGUUAACGCAAUGUGAUUUAUUCCUAGUGCUCUGCAUGUCAGAGUGAAGAAAUCCAACCAAGCACGGGUAAACGACGAGAGUAACUAUGACUUUAUUAAGGUAGCCAAAUGACCUAUCAUCUAAUUAGUGAUGUGCAUGAAUGGAUUAAUGAGAUCCCCAUUUUCCCUAUCUACUAUAUAGAGAAACCACAUCCAGGGGAACGAGCUUGGAAGAAUUAGUGGGGAAAUAAGACCCUAUUGAGCUUGACUCUAGUCCGACUUUGUGAAAUGACUUGAGAGGUGUAGAAUAAGUGAGAGUUGUUUUAGACACAAGUGAAAUAACACUACUUUUAAUGUUAUUUUACUUAUUCUGUGGGGAGGAGAUGGGGCAUAGCCCCUAUUUUUGGCCAUAAGACACAUUUUGGCAGGUCAAUAUGGGUGGAAGACAUU
rnacentral:ncRNA from 1 species